rnacentral:rRNA from 1 species
GAUGAACGCUGGCGGCGUGCCUAACACAUGCAAGUCGAGCGGAGUCCAGCCUUAGAGACCUUCGGGUCAAAGAGGGGAAGACUGAGUGGCGGACGGGUGAGUAACACGUGGGCAACCUGGCUCAUAGAGGGGGAUAACAGAGAGAAAUUUCUGCUAAUACCGCAUAAGCACACACUGCCGCAUGGCAGAGUGUGAAAAGAGAAUCGCUAUGAGAUGGACCCGCGUCUGAUUAGCCAGUUGGCAGGGUAAGAGCCUACCAAAGCGACGAUCAGUAGCCGAUUUGAGAGGAUGAACGGCCACAUUGGGACUGAGACACGGCCCAAACUCCUACGGGAGGCAGCAGUGGGGGAUAUUGCACAAUGGGGGGAACCCUGAUGCAGCGACGCCGCGUGAGUGAAGAAGUAUUUCGGUAUGUAAAGCUCUAUCAGCAGGGAAGAUAAUGACAGUACCUGAAUAAGAAGCCCCGGCUAACUACGUG